GAUGAACGCUGGCGGCGUGCCUAACACAUGCAAGUCGAGCGGCAGCGAGGGGUGCUUGCACCCUGUCGGCGAGCGGCGGACGGCUGAGUAACGCGUGGGAACGUGCCCCAAAGUGAGGAAUAACUGCCCGAAAGGGUAGCUAAUACCGCAUAUUAUCUUCGGAUCAAAGGAUUUAUCCGCUUUGGGAGCGGCUCGCGUCGGAUUAGGUAGUUGGUGAGGUAAUGGCUCACCAAGCCGACGAUCCGUAGCUGGUCUGAGAGGAUGACCAGCCAGACUGGAACUGAGACACGGUCCAGACUCCUACGGGAGGCAGCAGUGAGGAAUCUUCCACAAUGGGCGAAAGCCUGUUGGAGCAACGCCGCGUGCAGGACGAAGGCCUUCGGGUUGUAAACUGCUUUUAUAAGUGAGGAAUAUGACGGUAACUUAUGAAUAAGGAUCGGCUAACUACGUG
rnacentral:rRNA from 1 species